rnacentral:lncRNA from 1 species
UGGGAUUAGGUUCGCCAUGCAUGGUGAAUAAAUUCGAAUCGAUUCAUCUACCUCUCACAGUUUGGGACUACUUGAUCGCUAUGCUGCACUGAGUAAAGAUGGAACAUGAUGAUGAUAUUAAUCUUGAUGCUUGUCUUUUAAAUUGUUUGGAAAUAAUGUUUGCUUAGUAUAAGUUGCUAAUUUAGACUGGUUAAUAAAUUAGAACCUGUGGCUAAAAUAUUGAAAGUAAGGACCAAC